AUUGAACGCUGGCGGCAGGCUUAACACAUGCAAGUCGAGCGAGCGGCGGACGGGUGAGGAAUGUCUGGGAAACUGCCUGAUGGAGGGGGAUAACUACUGGAAACGGUAGCUAAUAACGCAUACCAGCAGAUGUGCCCAGAUGGGAGUAGCUAGUAGGUGGGGGAAUGGAUCACCUAGGCGACGAUCCCUAGCUGGUCUGAGAGGAUGACCAGCCACACUGGAACUGAGACACGGUCCAGACCCCUACGCGUGGCAGCAGUGGGGAAUAUUGCACAAUGGUCGCAAGCCUGAUGCAGCCAUGCCGCGUGUGUGAAGAAGGCCUUCGGUUUGUAAAGCACUUUCAGCGAGUAGGCGUUACUCGCAGAAGAAGCACCGGCUAACUCCGUGCCAGCAGCCGCGGUAAUAC
rnacentral:rRNA from 1 species